rnacentral:lncRNA from 1 species
GCACUCUGCUCCAAAAAGGAUGACUUCCAUGGGCCAGGGCCACUCCAUGUUUCAUCGUGAUGUUCUUUCACUAAUUGAUUGCUUAUUAAUAUUUGUUCAUUGUUUUUUAUUAGAAACACUUAUUAUACCAGGAGAAGAACAAAACAACUGCAGAUGAAGCUCUUUGGAUUUGUUCCUGAGGUGAAACUCCUCAAACGCCAUUUCUCUGAAUCGGAGAUGUAGGAGUAACACAGUAGAAACCUCCCAGCAACAGAGGGAAACAGCAAAGCAUGCAGCAAACAAGGUUCAUAGCAACUUUGACAUUGAAUGAGGCACAGAUUACCAGUUUCUUUUACUGUUUUAAUUAACUCUAUUAGGAUAUCAUUUUUGCACAAGAAACAGCAUCCUUUUAAAGUAUACAAUUUCAUAAGUUUUGACAGUUAUAGUCAGUCACUAAAUGGCAGCAACAAUUAAAAGACACAUUUCCUUCAUCCCCAAAGUUCCUGUGCCCCUUAGUCCAUGCAUCCCUCCAACAUCCUCCUCAAGUGAAGGAUGAUCUGUUGUUGCCAUGAUGAAUAGUUCAAAUUUCUAGAAUUCAUAUAAGUGGUAUAAUACAUUGUAUAGACUUCUGGGCCUGGAUACUUUCUAUUAAUUAUUUUAAGUUUUAUCUAUGUUGUAGUGUGAGUCAGUAAUUUGUUUUAUUUUAUUGCUGAUUAGUAUUCAACUGUAUGGAUAUACUACAUUUUGUUUAUCCAUUUCAAAGUCAUUGGCAUCUGACUUAUUUCUAAUUUGGUGAUUUUAUGAAAAAUAGCUACAAAAAUGUGAACACAGGUUUAUGUAUGAACAUUUAUUUUUAUUUCCUUUGGUGACAAACCUAUGACUUGAAUGACUUGGUUAUGUAAUAAGUGUGUAUUUAAAUUUUUUAGAAACUGCCCAAAACUUUCCUAUUCACCAAAAGGUAUGAGAGCACCAGUUGCUCCACGUUUUCUUCACCACCACUUAGUAUGUCAGUAUUUUAUUUUAGCUACUACACAUAGUGGCAUUCCAAUGUGGAAUGAUGUGCAUCCUUUUUAGGUGCUUAUUGGUCAUUCAUACAUCUCUUCUAGUGAAGUGUUUGUCAGAAAAGAUUUUGUCCAUUUUUAUUAGGCUUUUUGCCUUACUAUUGAGUUAUAGAAGCUUGUCUUUUUAUUUUUUUCAUUCAGGACACAAAUUUAUGUAUACAUAUAUUUGUAGCUUUAUUUUUUAUUGUGUCCUGUAAGGAACAAAAGUCAUAAUUUGGAUAAAGUUUGACUUAUCUUUUUGUCUUUUGUAGAUUUUGCUUUUUGUGUCUUAUCAAAGUCUUCGUUUAACCCAAGUUCACAGGUAUUUAUUCCACUAGUUAUAUAAGCUUAGCAUUUACAUUUAAGCCUAUGAAGGUUUGAGAUGAAGUGAUAUAAGGUAAAUUUUUAGUUUCUUUAUGUGACUAUCCAGUUAUUCCAGCACAAUUGGUUGAAAAGACACUCCUUUUCUCAUUGAAAUGCUUUCACAGCUUAAUAGAAAAUAAACUGACCUUAUAUGUAUAGGUCUAUUUUUGGGAACUUUAUUCCAUUUUACUUAUGUAUAUGUGAAUCCUUCACCACACUGUUUUAAUGUAAAAAUGCUUUAUACUUAGAACUAAAACUAGAUCAUAUAAAUUCUUUAAGUUUGCUUUUUCACUUUAAUAUUUUACUGGUGGUUAUGGGCCAUUCACACUUCCACAUAUAUUUGAGAAUCAGCUUGUCAGUUUAAAACAUGAUGUAAUUUUGAUUGGAUUUGUUUUAUCUGUUGAUGAAUUUAGAAUAAAUCAACAUCUUUAAAAUUUUGCAUGUUUCAACUUAUGAAUAUUUUUCUCAAGUCACAUAGGCUUUUUAAUUUUUUUACAAGAAGUUUUGUAGUUUUCAGUGUACAGGUCUUGCACAUAUUUUUAUACAUUAUUUCUAGAUAUUUUAUUCCCAGAGAUGCUAUUAUAAAUGAAAUUGCAUUUUUAUUUCAAUUUGUAUGUUUUUGUUUGAGAUUUUUUUUCUAUUUGAUUUGUCUAAGGUAGUUGAUAUAGUUGAUUUUGUAUAUGGACCUUGUAACCUGGGACCUUGCUAAACUCACUUUUUAGUUCUACUAACUUUUUAACAGAUUUAUUAAAAUGUCCUUUUGAGAAGUGUCUGUUUAUAUCCUUCACCCAAUUUUUGAUGCGGUUGUUUUUUUCUUUUAAAUUUGUUCAAGUUCCUUGUGAAUUCUAGAUAUUAGACCUUUGUCACAUUGAUAGAUUACAAGAAUUUUUUCCCAUUCUGUAGGUUGCCUGUUCACUCUGAUGAUAGUUUCUUUUGCUGUGCAGAAGCUCUUUAGUUUAAUUAGAUCCCAUUUGUCAAUUUUGGCUUUUGUUGCAAUUGCUUUUGGCGUUUUUGUCAUGAAGUCUUUGCCCAUGCCUAUGUCCUGAAUGAUAUUACCUAAGUUUUCUUCUAGGGUUUUGAUGGUUUUGGGUUUUACAUUUAAGUCUUUAAUCCACCUUGAGUUAAUUUUUGUAUAAAGUGUAAGGAAGAGAUCCAGUUUCAGUUUUCUGCAUAUGGCUAGCCAGUUUUCCCAGCACCAUUUAUUGAAUAGGAGAUCCUUUCCCCAUUACUUGUUUUUGUCAAGUUUGUCGAAGAUCAGAUGGCUGUAGAUGUGUAAUUUCUGAGGUCUCCGUUCUGUUCCAUUGGUCUAUAUGUAUGCUUUGGUACCAAGCAGUACCAUGUUAUUUUGGUUGCCGUUGCCUUUUUGUUUUCUGGAAGUGUUUGUGAAGAAUUGGAGUUAAUUGUUCUUUAUUUGUUUGGUAGGAUUCACAAUAGAACCUCCUGGACCUGCACUUUGUGUGCCUGAGAAAUUUUUGUAGCUACUAAUUUAACAUCACUACAUGGUAUAAAUCUAGUCAGAUUUUAUACUUUUUUAGCUGAGUCAGUUUUGGUAGUUUUUAUGUUCCUAGAAAUUAGUCAAUUUCAUCUACGUUAUCAAAUUAGUUUAAUUCAAAUUUUUUUAGUGUUGAUUACAAUCCUUUUUUAAAAAAAAUUCCAUACAGUCAGUGGAAUGUCACCAUUUUCAUCUCUAUUUUAGUAAUAUGAAAGUUUCAUCUCUUUUUUGCCAAUAUAAAUGAAAGUUUAUCAUUUUUGUUUAUUUUUUAAAUAACAAAACUUGAUUUCAUUUUUCUAUUUUUAUUCAUUUAUUUUGUUUUUGUUCUAAUUUAAUUACAUUGUUG